ACAAGUUGCUACAAAACUUGGGCUUCCUGAGUGGAGGCUGUUUUGCACAGUGCAUCUACUGUACAAAAAUCCAGGCAGGGAGGGAUCAGAAAGUUAGUCAUUAAAGAAAAAAAAAAAAAAAAAGCCCCAGGCACUUGAUGCCUGGAAAUGAUGUCAGACGCAGCCACUCCUCUGUUAGAACUACAACCAAACAAUGCGCAGGCAAUCCACAGCAGCUGCCCCUGCAAAUGUCAGCGCCAGCCCAGUCAAAAGAGCUUGAAACCUACCAAGCCGGAGGACUGUGCUGUGCCUCUCUCGCCCACAUUUUCCCCAAGCACUCUCAGGAACCUGGCAACAGGUAACGUGGCAACCUUUGACUUAUAAAAGGGCAAGUGGCACAAUCUCAGGGAACAAAUGGACUUUUUCUUAAAGCCAGCAUCUCCCCCACCACUCCCACACCCCCCUCCCUCCCUCCCAACCAAAAGUCUGUAAAAAACAAAACAUUGACGCGGGCAGUCCUACUCUCGAGUGUCCCCUUGUGGCCAAGCCUGGAACAUCACAUCUGUACAUUGCAAUCUGUGGAUCAGCUACGAGACUGAGAGAAAGGAAUUAAAGGAUGGAAGAAUUACAAGAUCAGGCACUGCUGUCUGUCUGAUCCACGGAUGUAACCACAGCACACGCGUGGCUCACGGUACUAGUGUGAUGAAUGCUUGUUACAUGAAGGCAUGAACAGGGAUGAGAAGAGACUUCCUGGAGAAACAAAAGGACUAACAAUCAGGAAGGGGAGGUGAUCGGGGCAGGAGUAAAGUGGACACCUCAGCAAAGCCAUUCGCUGUGAUCUCUGAUUGUGCAGUGUCAUGUCCUGUCACCAGAGCCCCCUCGUGUUUGAUGUUGGCCAAUGCCACCAACAUGAUCUAGCAGGCCAAAUCCUAAUCUACCAUUCUCUGACACCAGCUGGUCCCCUGGGUCGUCCACCUGAUGUCCCCCAUUCUCCCCACUUGGCCUCCCCCACAGGCUCUCGGCAAAGGACCGUGGGAGGCACCUGUGACACUGCCCUUUUCCUGUGCAGCUGUUUUUCUUCUUCAUUCUUUUCACUCCUCGUUACUCUUUUUUUUUUUCACUCUCAGCCCACACAAAACUAGGAACUUUGUUAUUCUACUCAUUUUUCUGUACUCUGUCUGUUUGCACACAGAUGGAUAUCUGAGAGCCAGAAAACUUUCUUUACCUCCUAGUAUCAUUUCAUGAAAAUUAGUAGCACCUGCACAAUGGGGCCUUGGAGACAGGAAUAAAAGGAAAAAUCUGGAAUGGAAUCACAUGACGCAACAGGCUAUGAGGACUCCCUGCCCGGCUGCUAUAUGUCUGGUAAACAGAAUAGAUAGCACUUGAGCAUCCCUGACCCUGAGACUGUGGAGUAGCUGGUUGUUUUUAGAUGGGACCAGGGCAUCGUGCACUUAUUGCCAAUUCUUCUUGCUUCAGUAAGUGGGGUGGCUGUGCAGAGUAAGUGGCCUGUGUAUGAACCAGGGUCUGUCCCAUCUAAUGAGAGUCCGGUCAGGCUGAGUCCUCACCAAGACUUCAGCGUGGAUUCAUCAGUAACCUUGGUUCACCAGCAGGCUCGCUGGACUUUGGAGAAAAGGCUGACCCUCCCCCAAAGCAGCCCAUUGCUGCCACUGCCCUAGGAACAGAGGGCCUGGAGCCAGGGCUUGACCUGGCACAGGAGCUUUUGCACAAGGCCGGCUCAGACCUCCAAACCUGGGAAAACAGGAUGCAUGGUGAAGUGAAGAAGAAAGAAAAUGCAUCCACCAUUCCUUCCUGUUGGUGUCAGCACGAUGAGGAAUAAUUACCUGGAUCUGGAAAGCAGGCGUGUGGGAGGCUGCAGGCCCCCCUGGUCUGUGUAGUUAGGCACUUAAUUUUUCAUCCUCCUCCUUUUCUCUGCCCUCCCGAAACCCCCGUUUUCAAAGGAAAAACAGAAAAACGUUCUGGGUAACCCGUGUAAUACUGUUUACAUCAGUCCACUUGGCCCAGAAAGGAUACCAGCUCCUUACUGAUGCUCAGAUAACAGGGUUAGUGCUUAAAAAAAUUAUGCCUUGGGCUGGGUGCGGUGGCUCACGCCUAUAAUCCCAGCACUUUGGGAGACUGAGGUGGGUGGAUCACAAGGUCAAGAGAUCAAGACCAUCCUGGCCAACCAACAUAGUGAACCUGUCUCUACUAAAAAUACAAAAAUUAGCUGGGCGUAGUGGCGCAUGCCUGUAGUCCCAGCUGCUCGGGAGGCUGAGGCAGGAGUGUCGUUUGGGCCUGGCAGGCGGAGGUUUCAGUGAGCUGAGAUUGCGCCACACUGCACUCCAGCCCAGGCGGUGGAGUGAGUCUCCAUCUCAAAAAAAAAAAAAAAAAAUUCUGUCUCAUUCAUUAUCCAGCUUUGUCACUGAUAGAGAAGGACAUAGAUCCAGAGAAGAACUUGUCCAGGUGACCCCAGGGCUCUUUCCCCCUCCAUUACUUUUUCUUUUUUUUUUUUUUUUUGAGCCGGAGUCUGGCUCUGUCACCCAGGCUGGAGUGCAAUGUCACAAUCUUGGCUCACUGCAUCCUCUGCCUCCUGGGUUCAAGCUAUUCUCCUGACUCAGCCUCCCUAGUAGCUGGGAUUACAGGUGCGUGCCACCCCGCCCAGCUAAUUUUUGUAUUUUUAGUAGAGGUGAGGUUUUAACUUGUUAGCCAGGCUGGUCUUGAACUCCUGAUGUCAAGCGAUCUGCCUGCCUUGGCCUCCCAAAGUGCUGGGAUUAAGGGCGUGAGCCACCGCGCCCGGUCCCCUCCAUUACUCCUUACGUGUCCCUUAAAGACUGUAUUUAUUUAUUUGAAACAGAGUCUUGCUCUGUCACCCAGGCUGCUGUGCAGUGGCAUGAUCUUGGCUCACUGCAACCUUCUGCCUCAGCCUCCUGAGUACCUGAGACUACAGGCGGGCGCCACCACACCCGGCUAAUGUUUGUCUUUUUGGUAGAGAUGGGGGUUUCACCAUGUUGGCCAGGCUGGUCUCGAACUCCUGAUCUCAAGUGAUCUGCCAACUUCAGCCUCCCAAAGUGCUGGGAUUACAGGCGUGAGCCACUGCGCCCAGCAAAGACUGUGUUUAAAAUACUACCUUUCUGUUAGGUACCUGUCAUUUGCCAAAAUUAAAUAAAAACAAUCUAGGAACCUAGGAACCUGUGAAGUCAGUACUAAAAUCUAUACCAAUUUACUCUACAAACCCCCAUCCUCCUCCUCGUUGGUUGAGUGUUUAAUAAAGCCAGGCGCUUUGCCUAUAGUCUCAUUAAAUUAAAAACAAUCCUGCAUAGGAAGUCAGGAUCUCAAUUUUGCAGAUGAAAAGGAGGCUUAUCUGGGCAUGCCCAGCAAGGUCUGGGGAACGCCCCUUAAUGGAGUACUUGAAUUUGUCUGCAGGGAGAGGUGGCAUCACUGCACUGUAAAUAGUUUCCAAGGUCAAGUUUGGCUGGUGGCUUUUAGAAUUGUGGCAGAAGGAUGCCAUCCUACUCCCACCUUCAGAGGCAUCUCAGGUUCUGGAGCUCUGUGCUAACUAAGCCCACCUGUGGAGGGUGGCAAUGGAGUGGUGACAGGCGUGCAAGGUUUCACGUCUUUAAGGAAAAGACAGCUCCAAGGACAGAGAGGUUUUUGUUGUUUGUUUUGUUUUUUGAGACAGAGUCUCACUCUGUUGUCAGGCUAGAGUGUAGUGGCGCGAUCUCGGCUCACUGCCAUCUCCACCUCCCGGGUUGAAGCGAUUCCCCUGUCUCAGCCUCCCGAGUAGCUGGGACUACAGGAGGCGCCACCACGCCCGGCUAAUUUUGGUAUUUUUAGUAGAGAUGUAGUUUCACCAUGUGGGCCAGGAUGGUCUCGAUCUAUUGACCUUGUGAUCCGCCCACCUCAGCCUCCCAAAAUGUUGGGAUUACAGGCGUGAGCCACCACUCCCAGCCAAUUUUUUUUUUUAAAGAGACAGGGUCUCGCUCUGUUGCCUGGGCUGGAGUGCAGUGGUGUGAUCAUGGCUCACUACAUCCUCUAACUCCUGGGCUCAAGCGAUCCUCCCACUUUAGCCUCCGGAAUAGCUGGAACCACAACCGCACACCACCACAUCCAGCUAAUUUUUAAAAAACUGUUUGUAAAGACAGGGUCUCACUAUGUUGCCCAGGGUCAAGGUCAGAUUUGUUAAUCCUUCUGACAUUGUCUCCUGUUGGAGUUCUGGGUGUUCAUUAGUUCAUCACCAUGCAUGUGAUUCACACACUGUACUCAGAAACAUUCUUUUUUUUUGUUUUUGUUUUUUUAUGAGACGGAGUUUUCUCUUGUCGCCCAGGCUGGAGUGCAAUGGCACGCACGAUCUCGGCUCACUGCAACCUCCACCUCUCCGGUUCAAGCAAUUCUCCUGCCUCAGCCUCCCGAGUAGCUAGGAUUACAGGUGUGCACCACCACUCCCAGCUUAUUUUUGUAUUAGUAGAGACGGGGUUUCACCAUGUUGGCCAGGCUGGUCUCGAACCCCGGACCUCAGGUGAUCCACCUGCCUCGGCCUCCCAAAGUGCUGGGAUUACAGGCAUGAGCCACCGUGCCUGGCCAGAAACAUUUUUUAUUCGUUUUUAUUAUAAUUGUAGUAAGGGCCCUGGUAGGGGAUUUGAACUGUUUCUUUCCACAGUGUGGAAUGAUGUCUAUAUACAUUACAGAAUGGAGAUAUAGAUAUAUAUAUAGAUACAUAGAUAUAUAUAUAUUUUUGAGACAGUCUCACCCUGUGGCUCAGGCUAGAGUGCAGUGAUGUGAUCUCAGCUCACUGCAACCUCCACUUCCCGGGCUAAAGCAAUUCUCCCACCUCAGCCACCCAAGUAGCUGGGAUUACAGGCGUCUGCCACCAUGCCGGCUAUCUUUUGUAUUUUUAGUAGAGAUGGGAUUUCACCAUGUUGAUCAGGCUGGUCUCGAACUCCUGACCUCAAGCAGUCCACCCGCCUUGGCCUCCCAAAGUGCUGGGUUUACAGGUGUGAGCCACUGCGCCCAGCCCAGAAUGGAGUAAUCUGAUGUGGUCUUACAGAUAAACACUUCACAUAUGCAAGGGUGUGUGUGUGUGUGUGUGUGUGUGUGUGUGUGUGUGUGUGUGAACUCAUCUUUUCCAUUCUCUUCCCAACCCCUCCCUUCCCAUCUGCUACCCUCAGGCUACAGUUCGACUUCACAGAUAGAAAAAUAAAACCUACGGCUGGGCAUGGUGGUUCACGCCUAUAAUCCCAGCACUUUGGGAGGCCGAGGUGGGCCAAUCGUUUGAGGUCGGGAAUUUGAGACCAGCCUGACCAACAUGGUGAAACCCUGUCUCUACCAAAAAUACAAAUAAAUUAGCCGGUCGUGGUGGCCUGCCCCAGUAAUCCCAGCUGCUUGGGAGGCUGAGGCAGGAGAAUCGCUUGAACCAAGGAAGCGGAGGUUACAGCAAGCCCGGAUCACGCCACUGCACUCCAGCCUGGGUGACAGAGCGAGACUCCGUCUCAAAAAAAAAAAAAAAAAAAAAAAUUAGCUGGGCGUGGUGGCGAGUACCUGUAAUCCCAGCUACUCAGGAGGCUGAGGCAGGCGAAUCGCUUGAACCCGGGAAGCGGAGAUUGCAGUGAGUGGAGAUCGGGCCACUGCACUCCAGCCUGGGCUACAGUGCGAGACUCCUUCUCGAAUGAAUAAAUAAAUAAAUAAAACACAUUAUUUACCUUGGCCCACUAUAAUUUUGCACUACAGGGUGGCAGCUCCGUGCUAUGUAUCAGCCGGGUGCCGCGCAGCUUUGAUGCUGCCCAGGACACUGGCCUAAAAGUGUGUCUGCAAGUGCUCUCACUCUUCAUUCAUUCAAGCUCUGCCUAGUACACACUUUUUGGAAACCAUUUCCCAAAAUGCAUGCUUUUAUAUAGCACAUUUCCCACCCACCAGAUAACCGAGACAGUGCACGUAACACAGUUUGAAUUAAAGAAUAAUCUUGUUUUGGCCGGGCGCAGUGGCUGGCGCCUGUAAUCCCAGCACUUUGGGAGGCCGAGGCGGGCAGAUCACGAGGUCAGGAGAUCGAGACCAUCCUGGCUAAGACAGUGAAAUCCCGUCUCUACUAAAAAUACAAAAAAUUAGCCAGGCGUGGUGGCGGGCGCCUGUAGUCGCAGCUACUCAGGAACUGAGGCAGGAGAAUGGCGUGAACCCGGGAGGUGGAGCUUGCAGUGAGCCGAGAUCAUGCCACUGCACUCCAGCCUGGGCGACAGAGCGAGACUCCGUCCAAAAAAAAAAAACAAAGAAACUUGUGUUGGUAGACAAAUAAAUUCAUGAACUGCAGAUAUAAAUAGAUCGAGCACUAGAUAUGUUUAUUAUCUCCAGCACAGCACUGCCUCCUGGUGCGGAUUAUAUUCCAGUUUUCAAAAGGAACCAUAGAAGAUACAAGCAAUACGAUUUUAUUUUGGAGGGAUUUCUAGCAUCAUAGGUCAAAGACGUUAUUAAGUAUCGACUCUGAAAAAGCAACUAUAAAUACUGCAAAUCGACUAAGCCAGAGGACGCAAAUAUAUCCUGCGUGUUGUGUGCUGGACUGUGGUUGAGACUUCAUGGUCGUGCUCUGGGCUCUUGGGGGCAGCUGACUGCUCAUAAUUAAGAUUGCUGUUGCCGCUGCCUGUGUUCCAAAGAGAACACAAGAGGACAGAGCGAAGGUGUAGGAAUGCGGAAAAACUUGCAGAAACUAGAGCUAGUCUUCGGAUUGAAAUGAAUUACCAAUAAAGGGUUGGGAAAUGGAUCAAGGAGAGGGAAGCGUUUUGAUGGUCCCUGCUCCGAGGUUCAGCCCAUUUGCAGUUGCUGAUAACCUUGUCAGGUCACCAGAUAAAGGCAAGUCUUGUCACCCUCAGGCACCUGGCUGCGAAGUAAUAAAACGGUUGCCUUAUCAUCUAAAGGUGGAGUGAGUCAAACCUCAGCCCAGGGUAAUUAUAGUAAACUGAAAUUGCCUGUCCUUUACAAAAAAAAAGGGGGAGGGAGAGAGAGAGGAAAAGGGCUUAAGGCAGGAAAUUGUGUUUGUCUUUCUCCUUGGAUUUAAAAAAGAAACGAGCAAAACAGCAAAAAGUUUUCCAGGGAGUGAGAAAAACAGCCCUGCUAGACUCCCCUCACCCUGGGUUAACAGGAUUGCUGACAGAUCAGGCCCACGUGAUGGUCAAGAAAAGAGGCUCAAGCUGAUGAAAAUCCAAGAAAUCUUCUUAGGAGCCUUCCUUUCUAAAUGUAAAUGACUGAGUCAUUGCUUUGCUAAGGAGGGAAGGAAGUUACAAUCACACCAAGUGACUCAUUCAUUGCUGUUAGCUCCGGCAGUUGGAUAAAAAGUUCUAGCAAAAGCAGCAACAAAUGUACUUUAAAUACUAGCACAGUAAGGGAAUUCCUGUCUUUCAGGAUGAAUGCCAUCCACACAAAAGAGCUCCUGUUGACAUCUCAUUUACAAUCUCCCCCAGGACACAGACAAGACCCUUUCAAUAAACCCAGCUCAGAAACACCUAUUGUUCAAAAUCUUCAACUCGCCACAGGCUACCACCACUCCCUAUGGCUUUGCAAAAUUAAAGAUUUAGAAGAAGGAUGGGGACGGUGGAAGCUAUGAAAAGAGGCAGGAAAAAAGUUCCUUUGACCCGAUGCUGUCAGAGAGCGUGCAUGAAGAAGAAAGUUAAUGGUAUUUCCAUUUAUAUAAGAAGCGCCUAAGAAAUGCCUGUGACGUUCGUGAACUAGUGAUUGUGAAUUCCAAAUUUGAUGCCAACUUUAUGUGUAAAGAAGCUAACUCCUGCCAACAUCGUGGCUGAAUGAACAGCUGGGGCUAUGCUUAACCCAUUCCCAGCUUACAAAAGCCCCAUGGCAGCUGCAGUGAAGCAUCAGGUGAGUCUGAUAUGGGCUGUCUGUUCCCUCCGGGAUUUGAAGCUUGCCUGUCCUUUCCAAGUGGAAUCUUGUGCCUAAGUGCUAGAGCCCACUCCUUCCUCUCCACUGAUUCCCUUCUUUCCAUUUCUGCCAUUUCCCUUCUUUUAAUAAAACUUGGACAUUUUCUGGAGUUACAUGUUUUUCUUGGGAUGUACCUCAAAUUAAGGAGCAUAUUUAUGUUUACAAACACACGCACACACACACAUACACACAAAAGAAUCGGGCAUUUCUCAAGUGGUGAUACCUUUACCCUCCUUAUUUUUCACUUAAGGUUCCCCAUCUCAGUACACGAUCCCUUUAUCUGCCCCAAGUUCAAGCCAAAACUCGGCAUUAUCUGUAAGCACUCCUUUGGGUCCUUCUCUCCGGUCUCUUAAAUCCCUGUGGAGUCAUUCCACAUCCUUCUGUGCAUCUUUCUGCUUCCCUAUAGAUCCUACAGUUUUAAUGUUAUCUUCUGGAGUAUCACAGCAACUUCCUUAACUCAAGGUUUCUCCAACUCUGAGUUGUCACUUAAUGGGUAGUGAAAUCAGAUGAGUCAUGCAGUUUCACCAUUUAGAAAAUGCAAAAGGUUAGGUAGAAAAUGUCAGCGUACAUCCUGUGUAGAAAAAGUAAGUCUUGUUGUGAAACUUCUUUCAGUUUGUGUGUGUGUGUCCCCGGAUCUGUGUACAUACUGGGCAACAGGGAAAAUGCAUUUUGUAGGUCAAAAUAUUUGGAGAAAUACUUUUCUACUUAGUCUCACUGGGUCUGUCUUUUCUGUUUCCAAACUAUUGCGUACACUUAGAGGAAGAGUGGAAACCCUCCAGCAGGUCCUGUCAGUCUGCAGUUUACAAAUCUCCCCUCAGGAUAAGAGUUCCUGUUCACCAUUUUCAGGUCUCAGAAUUCUGCCUCCUCCUGACCACUUUUCCUUUAGUUAUUCAACCCAUCAAGUUCCCUGGGUUUGCAUGUGCAAUCGAUUCCUCGUUAGGGAUAUUCUUUCCUGUGGUUUUUCCUUCAGAUACGAGCUUACGUUUGACCUCUUCCAAGAAGACGUCAGGAAUGUCCUUCUGAAUGCCUUUCCUAGUUCUCAUGAGAACACAGCAGUUUUUAAUCAGGCAGAGCACUUAUUACUACAAUUAUCUGCUUGGUUCCCAACUGAACUUUUAAGUUCCAAGUGGGCAGUCAGUAAAUAUUUCUUGGUGCAUCAAAUGCUCCACAUUUUACACAGUUAACAUUUGCUGCCUACAAACCAAUUUGGAUAGUUAUUUUAAAGUAUCUUAUCUCUAGUUCUCAAAGCUUUAGUUUCCUUUAACUCUUAAAUAUCUCUUGCAUAUUUUCUUUUCAAACACUGCUUCGUUAAUUUGCAAAUUCAUUGGACUCCUUUCCUUAAAAAUCAAAAUAAUAAAACUUCAAGAAAGCUAUUUUGACUUCUGGCCUCUCUGAAUGUCAGAUCUGUAAACAGGAAGGGCAGAACUCUGAUCUCUAAAAUCCUCUCCAGUCCACUACUCUGACCCUCUAACUUGAGCUUUCUCCAGAGAGGUUAAGUGACUUUUCCAAGGUCACGCAGCUUUUUAGCGGCAGGAGAUUUUUUUGCCUGUCUAUAGAUUUUUAAAAGCUAGCAGUAAACAAAAACCAAAAAGUUUACCGAGGACACUGAGUGCCACUAACAAGUUUGUGUGAAAGAGAAUUCAUGAAGAAAUAGGAGACUUCAAACAAAACACUAAAAUCAACAACAACCAUAAUGGAUUCCUGCCUAGGCAGGUCGGGACAUUAAGAAAAAAAAAGGUCUCGCUGUGGUUUGCUAUUAGAUGGAGAGAUAUUCAGAUUUCAUUUUUAAAAUGAAAGUGAAAGAUUAAAGAAUUUUGGCAUCCUGACCCUUUGUAGAGGCCAUUCCUCAGAGGCACAGUGUGCAGACAAAACUAUCCUAGAGGUGCCAACCAAAACAAGCUAAUGUCUGUCUCAUUCCUGAGCCUUGGUACCUUGACCAGUAACCAAGCUCAGGAAGAAAGCUGCAACUCGCCAGGAUGAAAUUUGGCCCCGCUUCUUAUAACCCUUCCCCGCUUCCUUCCCCUGCCAGAACCACACUGAAGAAUUCGCUGCUCUCAAAGACAGACGUUUUCAUUACUUCCUUACAUUAUAGAGUUUGAGCUUAGAUAACCAGUUGUAUGAGUAGUAAGUCAAACAGAAAUACAACAGCAGUAAUACUUAUUUCUUUCCCUAAUGUAAUAUGUUGUACUUCAUAAGCCAUCAUAUGCAUUUGUUGCUUUUCCCCCUUCUAUACUGACCAGUAGUUUUGCUUUGUUUGACAGAAAAGUAUAGUAAGAAGAAACUGAAUUUGAAGUGGAUUCUUACAAAGGAAAAAGAAAAUCACUAUUGUAACUAUACCAAAUUACUAUGUAUGUGAGGUCCCAGCUUUGACAUCAAGUCGUUACAGCCACGUAAUGGGAUUACGGGUGAUUUUUACUUUAUUCUUUGGGCUUCUCUGAAUUUUCCUAUUUUUUGAAAAAGCACCUGCAUUAUUUUGUAAUUAUAAAAAAGUACAAAUAAGAAUUAUACACACUAUUAUUUCUUCACUGCUAUGACAUGACUAGACUACAAUUUUUUUUUUUUUGAGAUGGAGUUUCGGUCUUGUUGCCCAGGCUGGAGUGCAGUGGCGCGACCUCGGCUCACUGCAACCUCCACCUCCGGGGUUCAAGCAAUUCUCCGGCCUCAGCCUUCCCAGUAGCUGGGAUUACAGGCACUUGCCACCACACCUGGCUAAUUUUAGUAGAGAAGGGGUUUCGCCAAGCUGGCCAGGCUGGUCUCGAACUCCUGACUUUAGGUGAUUGAUCCACCUGCCUCGGCCUCCCAGAGUGCUGGGAUUAUAGGCAUGAGCCAUCGUGCCUGGCCUAGAUUAUGAAAUUUUUGUAUUACCAUGUAUGUUGCCGUGUAAUUUUUGUUUUGAACCUUUUUUAUUUUUCUUUUAAUUCCUUUGAGACAGGAUCUUGUUCUGUUACCCAGGCUCACUGCAACAAGGUGAUUUUCCCGCCUCAGCCUCCAGAGUAGCUGGACUACAGGCCGGUGCCACCACACCCAGAUAAUAUUUUAUAUUUUUUGUAGAAAUGGGGUUUUGUUUUGUUGCCCAGGCUGGUCUUGAACUCCUGGGCUCAAGCGAUCCACCCUCCUCAGCCUCCCAAAGUACUGGGAUUACAGGCAUAAGCCACUGCACCCGGCCUGGAGCAUUUGUUUUUUGAAGGAAAUUUUAUAUGAUUAGCACAUAAAAAAGGAAUACUAAAAAUCUAACAUUAUUUGAUAUCUCACUGUCUUUGAAAACUUAAGGAACAUGGACCCAUACAAUGCAGCCAAAUAUUGGCCGGUAACUCCUUUACAACUGGGCUGCAGCAUAUUUUAUUACCUUCUCCUGACAAUUUCUUAUCUGGCUACUUAUCAUUUCCAGAACAUACCAUCCUUUUGCAUGCCUUUACGCCAGUGGCAAACAUGGUUGUUUGCCUUCUCAUAACCAUUCUCUCUAUCCUGCUUGCUAAUGAGAACCCAGUGCUGUUGAUCUUUUCCACACAGCUGUGAGUUUUAGGGGUGGCUAAGCCCCUCCCUAGACGUGGAAGCUGAAUCUUCACCAGACUACCAGACAAAGAGAUGAGAAGGGAGGUUGGAUGGGAAUGUUCUGGGAAAGUUUACCUCACUAUUUAAAGCCACCCAAGUCAGGGACAUCCUUUUUCUUCCUCUGGACUUUGUCAUCUGCAAGGGAUGCUGGAACUGUGGCUGCCAUCGGGGAACCACAGAAAGUACUGGCCUAAGAAGACCAGCUCAGCUGGGCGUGGUGGCUUACGCCUGUAAUCCCAGCAUUUUGGGAGGAUGCAGGCAGAUCACGUGAGGUCGGGAGUUCAAGACCAGCCCGACCAACAUGGAGAAGCCCUGUCUCUACUAAAAAUACAAAAUUAGCUGGGUGUGGUGGUGCAUGCCUGUAAUUCUAGCUACUGGGGAGGCUGAGGCAGGAGAAUUGCCUGAAUCCAAGAGGCGGAGGUUACAGUGAGCGGAGAGGGCGCCACUGCACUCCAGUCUGGGCAAUGAGAGUGAAACUCCAUCUCAAAAAAAAAAAAAAAGAUGAGCUCACACUAGGGAUGACGGGUGGAAGAAAGUCCAGCUGUAAUGAACUUGCUGGUUUUGGUAAAUUCAUUGCCCUACCCUUGGACCUGGUAUUAUUUGAGAAAAUAAAUUAUUUUGCCAUCUUAGUCACUUUGAUUUUAUUUUUUAAGUUGUAUUUGUUUGCUUAUUGAUUUGAUUGGCUUGGCACUUAUGCAGUGACUUUGUAGAUGCUGUCUAUGUGUUGGGGCUCAGAACAUAAUGCCCUAAAAUAUGGUGACUUGGCAAUUGAGAAAACUGAAGGAGCAAGAAGGUCACUCACUGUGAGAGCUGGCCACGAGGGAAUGCUCUGACCUAUCUUUGUCUGAAAGUAGGUCAUAAGAUGCUCAUUCCAGAGAGGUCUCGCUCUAUACCCAGAGGCGAAGAAGGAACAGACAGCUCUUGCCCUACUGGCCCCCAGUUGUUUGUUACCGUUAGAUAAUAAAUUUAUUCUAGUUGAAAUCUGAAAUACUCCAAAGUCUGAAACUUUUCAUUUUUUUGAGACAGAGUCUUGCUCUGUCACCCAGGCUGGAGUGUAGAGCACGAUCUCAGCUCACUGCAACCUCCACCUCCCAGGUUCAAUGAUCCUCCUGCCUCAGCCUCCCAAGUAGCUGGGAUUACAGGCAUGUGCCACCACGCCUGGCUAAUUUUUAUACUUUUAGUAGAGACAGGGUUUCACCAUGUUGGCCAUGUUGGUCUCAAACUCCUGAACUCAAGUGAGCCUCGGCCUCCCAAAGUGCUGGGAUUACAGGCGUGAGCUGCUGCACCCAGCCUGAUCUGUAAUACUCUCCCCUGCAGUGUCCUCAGCCUCUCCUGCCUCAGCCUCCCAAGUAGCUGGGACUGCAGGUGUGCACCACCACAACCAGCCAAUUUUUAAACAUUUUUUUGUAGAGAUAGGGUCUCACUAUGUUGCCCAGGCUAGUCUCAAAUUCCUGGGCUCAAGUGAUCCUCCCACCUUGGCCUCCCAAAGUACUGGGAUUUGAGGUGUGAUCCACCUCACCCGGGCCUGAGUCUUCCUUUGGAAGGCUGCUGUAUCAUGUGAAACUUAUGUUAAAUAAAUUUGCUUAUUUUUCUGUUAUUAAUCUGUCUUCUGUGAUAGGAGUCUUAGCCAUGAACCUAGCAAUGGGUGUGGAAUAGAUAUUUCUUCCACACGCUAGAAAAGGCUGUGUCUGCCUGGUGCAAAUCCUGACCUGCCAGUUACAAGCUACUUAACUUUACACUAUUAAAUCAUCUUUUCCUCAGUUUCCUCAUCUGUUGAGUUAGGAUAACAGCACCUAUCUCAUAGUGUGAUGCGGCGAGUGAAGAGGUGAAUGCAGUGAAAGGGGAUAGAGUGUUCCACUUACCCUGUGACAUAUAGGAAUUAGGUGCUCUUCUUUUUUCUUUCCUUCCUAGAUUAUGUGAUGCAACAAAAUUCAAAUAUGAAAACCAUCUUGGAGGCCGGGCGCGGUGGCUCACGCCUUUAAUCCCAGCACUUUGGGAGGCCGAGGUGGGUGGAUCAUUUGAGGUCAGAAGUUCAAGACCAGCCUGGCCAACAUGGUGAAACCCCGUCUCUACUAAAAAUACAAAAAUUAACUGGGCGUGGUGGCACAUGCCUGUAAUCCCAGCUACUCGGGAGGCUGAGGCAUGACAAUCGCUUGAGCCUGGGAGGCGGAAGUUGUGGUGAGCCGAGAUCGCCCCACUGCACUCCAGCCUGGGCGACACAGACACUGUCUCAAAAAAAAAAGAAAACCAUCUUGGAAACUCUGAGGGUUCUUUUUUGAGGGGGAAAGUUCAUACUUUUAAGAUGCUUUGGUUCCUACUGCAUGAAGAGCCCUGCGAUGAGUGCAUGUGAAUGCAUAUGUUGAGAUGCCUUUUCCUAGUGCUUAAUAUUAAAAAUUCAUCUCGGCCAGGCAUGGUGCCUCACACCUGUAAUCCCAGCACUUUAGGAGGCUGAGGCGGGCGGAUCACCUGAGGUCGAGAGUUCGAGACCAGCCUGGCCAACAUGAAGAAACUCCAUCUCUACUAAAAAUACAAAAAAUUAGUCAGGCAUGGUGGCGCAUGCCUGUAAUCCCAGCUACUCGGGAGGCUGAGGCAGGAGAAUUGCUUGAACCUGGGAGGCGGAGGUUGCAGUGAGCCGAGAUCACGCCAUUGUUCUCCAGCCUGGGCAACAAGAGCAAAACUCUGUCUCAAAAAUAAAAUAAAAAAUUGCUUUAAAAAAUAAAAA